UUCAUACCUAAUACAUACAGAGAAUACAUAAGUGACAGAUACAGUACUAAGCAUUCUCAGCACCAUGACAGCAGAUCUACAGCAUGAAAGAGUGGAAGGGGAAGGCACCUUGGGAGUGUUUAGGCAAGAGGCUUGCGGGCAUACAUAACCCGUAGUAUUGAAUCUGUCUAUGCACACUAGGUUGAAGCACAUCCCUCCCCAUCACCCAGACAGAUGUAAAGAAGUUGGGAACCUCUGGUCCAACAGGAACAUCACCCUCUCCCAGGAGUUAGUUAGGAGUUUAUUCAGCAGCAUCACUGUGGUUAGAUGGAAGUAGAUCCACACAUUGUUCUCUAUCAUGCAGAAUUGUCCGCUCAUUAUAACUCAUAAAGCUCAUUGUAAAAUACA